rnacentral:rRNA from 1 species
UGCUUCGAGAUGAGUAUUCCCACCCCCUUUGAGGGGUUAAGGCUCCCAGUAGACGACUGGGUUGAUAGGCCGGAUCUGGAAGCACCGUGAGGUGUGGAGGUGACCGGUACUAAUAGGCCGAGGGCUUGUCCUCAGUUG